UACAGAGGGGGCAAGCGUUGUUCAGAAUUACUGGGCGUAAAGGGCGCGUAGGCGGCCUGUUAAGUCGAACGUGAAAUCCCCGGGCUCAACCCGGGAACUGCGUCCGAUACUGGCAGGCUUGAAUCCGGGAGAGGGAUGCGGAAUUCCAGGUGUAGCGGUGAAAUGCGUAGAUAUCUGGAGGAACACCGGUGGCGAAGGCGGCAUCCUGGACCGGUAUUGACGCUGAGGCGCGAAAGCCAGGGGAGCAAACGGG
rnacentral:rRNA from 1 species